CCUACGGGAGGCAGCAGUAGGGAAUCUUCCGCAAUGGGCGAAAGCCUGACGGAGCAACGCCGCGUGAGUGAUGAAGGUUUUCGGAUCGUAAAGCUCUGUUGCCAGGGAAGAACGCUUGGGAGAGUAACUGCUCCCAAGGUGACGGUACCUGAGAAGAAAGCCCCGGCUAACUACGUGCCAGCAGCCGCGGUAAUACGUAGGGGGCAAGCGUUGUCCGGAAUUAUUGGGCGUAAAGCGCGCGCAGGCGGUUCAUUAAGUCUGGUGUUUAAGGCUAGGGCUCAACCCUGGUUCGCACUGGAAACUGGUGGACUUGAGUGCAGAAGAGGAAAGUGGAAUUCCACGUGUAGCGGUGAAAUGCGUAGAGAUGUGGAGGAACACCAGUGGCGAAGGCGACUUUCUGGGCUGUAACUGACGCUGAGGCGCGAAAGCGUGGGGAGCAA
rnacentral:rRNA from 1 species